rnacentral:pre_miRNA from 1 species
UACGUACUCCCUCCGUCCUAAAAUUCUUGUCUUAGAUUUGUCUAAAUACGGAUGUAUCAAGUCACAUUUUAGUAUUAGAUACAUCCGUAUCUAGACAAAUCUAAGACAAGAAUUUUGAGACGGGGGGAGUAUGUU